rnacentral:misc_RNA from 1 species
GGUUUGAUGUAAACUCAGAUUGAACGCUGGCGGGAUGCUUCCUUUAAGUCGAACGGCAGCACGGACUUCCGGUCACGGUGGCGAGUGGCAAACAGGUGAGUAAUGUAUCGGAACGUGCCUAGUAGCGGGGGAUAACUUCUGCGGCAUGUCCAUCACACCGCAUACGCCCUUCGGGGAAAGCAGAGACCUUCGGGCCUCGCACUAUUGGAAACGGCCGAUAUCGGAUUAGCUAGUUGGUGGGGUAACGACUCCUGCGGGCGACGAUCGUGGCGCUGGUUUGAGAGGGACGACCAGCCACACUGGGACGUGAGACACGUGAGCUCCUGCAGAGGCAGCAGUGGGAAUUUUGGACAAUGGGGGAAACCUGAUCCAGCCAUCCCGCGUGUGCGAUGAAGGCCUUCAGGUUGUAAAGCACUUUUUUGGCAGGAAAGAAGCAGCGCAGGAUAAUACCCCGUGCAACUGACAGCCUGCAGAAUAAGCACCGGCUAACUACGUGCCAGCAGCCGCGGUAUACGUAAGUGCAAGCGUUAAUCGGAAUUACUGAGCUAAAGCGUGCGCGAGCGGUUCGGAAAAGAAAGAUGUGAAAUCCCAGGCUUAACUUUGGAACUGCAUUUUAACUACCGAGCUAGAGUGUGUCAGAGGAGGUGGAAUUCCGCGUGUAAGUGAAAUGCGUAGAUAUGCGGAGGAGCAUGAUGGCGAAGGCAGCCUCCUGGGAUAACACUGACGCUCAUGCACGAAAAGCGUCGGGGAGCAAACAGGAUUAGAUACCCUGGUCCACGCCUAAACGAUGUCAACUUCAUCAGCUGGAACCUUCGGGCCUUGGUGGCCUGUGCGCAGAAGUUGACCGCCUGGGAGCGUCACGAUCGCAAGAUUGGCUCUCGAAAAAGGAAUUGACGGGGACCCGCACAAGCGUGAAUGAUGGAUUAAUUCGAAGUGCAACGCGAAAAACCUUACCUACCUUGACAUGUCUGGAAUCCCAGAAGAGACCGGUGCUCGCAAGAGAACCGGAACAAAGCAAGCG